ACAAGCAGUGGGAGCACAGGUUUACCUGUGUGACUGCGUACCUUUUGUAUAAUGGGUCAGCGACUUAUAUUCUGUAGCAAGGUUAACCGUAUAGGGGAGCCGGAGGGAAACCGAGUCUUAAUUGGGCGUUAAGUUGCAGGGUAUAGACCCGAAACCCGGUGAUCUAGCCAUGGGCAGGUUGAAGGUUGGGUAACACUAACUGGAGGACCGAACCGACUAAUGUUGAAAAAUUAGCGGAUGACCUGUGGCUGGGGGUGAAAGGCCAAUCAAACCGGGAGAUAGCUGGUUCUCCCCGAAAGCUAUUUAGGUAGCGCCUCGUGAAUUCAUCUCCGGGGGUAGAGCACUGUUUCGGCUAGGGGGCCAUCCCGGCUUACCAACCCGAUGCAAACUGCGAAUACCGGAGAAUGUUAUCACGGGAGACACACGGCGGGUGCUAACGUCCGUCGUGAAGAGGGAAACAACCCAGACCGCCAGCUAAGGUCCCAAAGUCAUGGUUAAGUGGGAAACGAUGUGGGAAGGCCCAGACAGCCAGGAUGUUGGCUUAGAAGCAGCCAUCAUUUAAAGAAAGCGUAAUAGCUCACUGGUCGAGUCGGCCUGCGCGGAAGAUGUAACGGGGCUAAACCAUGCACCGAAGCUGCGGCAGCGAACGUAUCACUUAAAGCGAUUCAGCGGAUGACGAUUGACGGAGCGAAGCGACGUCAAAGCGUAUACAAAGUCGAGUCGGUUUAAGGAUACGUUCGUUGGGUAGGGGAGCGUUCUGUAAGCCUGCGAAGGUGGCCUGUGAGGGUUGCUGGAGGUAUCAGAAGUGCGAAUGCUGACAUAAGUAACGAUAAAGCGGGUGAAAAGCCCGCUCGCCGGAAGACCAAGGGUUCCUGUCCAACGUUAAUCGGGGCAGGGUGAGUCGACCCCUAAGGCGAGGCCGAAAGGCGUAGUCGAUGGGAAACGGGUUAAUAUUCCCGUACUUGGUGUUACUGCGAAGGGGGGACGGAGAAGGCUAUGUUGGCCGGGCGACGGUUGUCCCGGUUUAAGCGUGUAGGUGUGUGUUCCAGGUAAAUCCGGUUCACUUUAACACUGAGGCGUGA
rnacentral:rRNA from 1 species